UCAGGAUGAACGCUAGCUACAGGCUUAACACAUGCAAGUCGAGGGGCAGCAGAUCGAAAGCUUGCUUUGAUGCUGGCGACCGGCGCACGGGUGAGUAACGCGUAUCCAACCUUCCCUAUAGUAGAGAAUAGCCCGGCGAAAGUCGGAUUAAUGCUCUAUGUUGUAUUUAGAAGACAUCUGAAGAAUACCAAAGGUUUACCGCUAUAGGAUGGGGAUGCGUCUGAUUAGGUUGUUGGCGGGGUAACGGCCCACCAAGCCCACGAUCAGUAGGGGUUCUGAGAGGAAGGUCCCCCACAUUGGAACUGAGACACGGUCCAAACUCCUACGGGAGGCAGCAGUGAGGAAUAUUGGUCAAUGGACGGAAGUCUGAACCAGCCAAGUAGCGUGCAGGAUGACGGCCCUAUGGGUUGUAAACUGCUUUUAUACAGGGAUAAAGUGAGGGACGUGUCCCUUUUUGUAGGUACUGUAUGAAUAGGGACCGGCUAAUUCCGUGCCAGCCGCCGC
rnacentral:rRNA from 1 species